GCCGCGGUAGCUCAGCUGGUAGAGCACCGCAUUCGUAAUGCGGGGGUCAGGGGUUCGAAUCCCUUCCGCGGCACCA
rnacentral:tRNA from 2 species